rnacentral:lncRNA from 1 species
AUCCCUCCAGUGCGGCGGCGGGUGGCAGCGGCCGGCUUCUGGUUCGUCUUCUCCGGCGAGGGCAGGCGGCUAGGGUUUGGGGUCUGGUGUGGGGGUCUUAUUUAUACCCUUUUGCCUUUUGAUCUCAGCCGUCCAUUUUGUUUUAAUCUGGGCCGUCCGUGCGAUUAAAUCUGGGCCGUCCGUGCGCGCGAUUGAUCUGGACCAUCCGAUCGCGCGCACGCGGAUCGCCAACAUGGCCCGUCCCCGGUCGACGGGGUUUUGCCACGUGGCAGGUCCUGGUUGGCCAGGACUGUUGACUGGGUCUGC